rnacentral:miRNA from 1 species
UUUUCAUCAAAGUUUUCUGGA